UACGUAGGGGGCUAGCGUUGUCCGGAAUCAUUGGGCGUAAAGAGCGUGUAGGCGGCCCGGUAAGUCCGCUGUGAAAGUCGGGGGCUCAACCCUCGAAUGCCGGUGGAUACUGUCGGGCUAGAGUGCGGAAGAGGCGAGUGGAAUUCCUGGUGUAGCGGUGAAAUGCGCAGAUAUCAGGAGGAACACCGAUUGCGAAGGCAGCACUCUGGGACGUGACUGACGCUGAGACGCGAAAGCGUGGGGAGCAAACAGG
rnacentral:rRNA from 1 species